UACAGAGGGUGCAAGCGUUGUUCGGAAUUACUGGGCGUAAAGGGCUCGUAGGCGGCCAACUAAGUCAGACGUGAAAUCCCUCGGCUUAACCGGGGAACUGCGUCUGAUACUGGAUGGCUUGAGUGUGGGAGAGGGAUGCGGAAUUCCAGGUGUAGCGGUGAAAUGCGUAGAUAUCUGGAGGAACACCGGUGGCGAAGGCGGCAUCCUGGACCAUUACUGACACUGAGGAGCGAAAGCCAGGGGAGCAAACGGG
rnacentral:rRNA from 1 species